AGAGAGAGACAUGCGCGCAUAUCAAUAAGCGGAGGAAAAGAAACUAACAAGGAUUCCCCUAGUAACGGCGAGUGAAGCGGGAAGAGCUCAAAUUUGAAAUCUUAAAGGGUUUCCCUUUACGAAUUGUAGUUUAAAGGAGUGUUUUCUGUUGAGGUUUUGGUAAAAGUUCUUUGGAAUAGGACAUCAUAGAGGGUGAGAAUCCCGUAUUUGACCUUUACUUUCAACUUUGUGAUACACUUUCAAAGAGUCGGAUUGUUUGGGAAUGCGGUCCAAAAUGGGUGGUAAAUUUCAUCUAAAGCUAAAUAUUGGCGAGAGACCGAUAGCGAACAAGUACCGUGAGGGAAAGAUGAAAAGAACUUUGAAAAGAGAGUUAAACAGUACGUGAAAUUGUCAAAAGGGAAGCGUUUGACACCAGUGUUGUUUUUCUGAAAAUCAAUUAAAGAACUGUUUAUGCUAAGUUGUUUAGACUUUAUCAGCUAACUGUUUAGUUUUGAGCUUUUCUUUAAUGCACUUUUCAGUUAACAAGUCAACAUCAAUUUCUUUUGCUGUAAAAAAGCUUGAGGAAGGUGGCUUGAGAUUCGUCUUAAGUGUUUAUAGCCUCUUGCCUAUGCAGUCGGAGAGAUUGAGGUCUGCAGCGUAGAUCCUCCGGGGCUAAAUGCAUUUGUGCUAAGUUAUAGCAUUUUAUAGACAACUUGUUGACUAUGAUUUGUCUUGUAGCUUACUCGCUUAUGUUAUUUUACCUACGCUUAGGAUGUUGACGCAUGAGAUAUACGC
rnacentral:rRNA from 1 species